GAGCGAUCCCGGAAGGAGCCGAAGCGACGAUGCGGGGGAAGAGAUAGAGUCUUCCUCUGUUGCCUAGGCUGGAGUGCAGUGGCGCGAUCUCGGCGCACCGCAACCUCUGCCUCCUGGGUUCAAGCGAAUUCUCCUGCCUCAGCCUCCGGAGUAGCUGGGAUUACAGAUGUGCUCCACCAUGCCCGGCUAAUUUUUGUAUUUUUAGUAGAGAUGGGGGUUUCACCAUGUUGGCCAGGCUGGUCUCGAACUCCUGACCUUGUGAUCCACCAGCUUCGGCCUCCCAAAGUUCUGGGAUUACAGGCAUGAGCCACCACACCCAGAUGAAUGAUGCCAUUUUUAAGGCAAAGGUCUCCAUAACUAUUAACUUCUCUGUCCUUCUAAUCUGUAUUCCCUGAGAAAUUAAUUGGGCUGGCAAGUCAAAGCCCUGAACCCCAGCUGCAGCUUUCUGAGCUUGAUCUGUCCAUCUGUGAAGUAAGGCAAUGAGAAGUGAGUCGGGGAACGGAACCCACGAUGCGUCAGAGGAGUGUUCCAGUUGCACACACACUCCCCAGCCACCUGGCAGCUCAGUCUAUAAUC
rnacentral:antisense_RNA from 1 species